rnacentral:lncRNA from 1 species
UUUCAGUUCCAGUCAUUCUGAAUGAUGGGAUUCGAUGAGAGAACUUGUAAAGUUCGUUUGGCUUUACAAAAAAUAAGCCAGCCUUAUUUUGGCUGGUAGACUGGAAAAGGCUAACAAAUCCAACUACUUUGUCCAGGUAAUUUACUUCUAUACCAACAUCCUUGACAAAAUCAGAAAGAACCUCCACAAUUUCAUACUGAUACUUCCUAACUAACAAAUCCAACCACUUUAUCCAGGUAAUUUACUUGUAUACCAACAUCCUUGACAAAAUCAGAAAGAACCUCCACAAUUUCAUACUGGUACUUCCUAUGGUUUUCUGCGUCGGAGCUCCAACCAAUAUCCCAAUCUUUAAAAAGAGCCCAUGUCUCCCCUUUCCUAGGAUAUA